UGGGGAAUUUUCCGCAAUGGGCGAAAGCCUGACGGAGCAAUGCCGCGUGGAGGUAAAAGGCCUACGGGUCAUGAACUUCUUUUCCUGGAGAAGAAACAAUGACGGUAUCUGGGGAAUAAGCAUCGGCUAACUCUGUGCCAGCAGCCGCGGUAAGACAGAGGAUGCAAGCGUUAUCCGGAAUGAUUGGGCGUAAAGCGUCUGUAGGUGGCUUUUUAAGUUCGCCGUCAAAUCCCAGGGCUCAACCCUGGACAGGUGGUGAAAACUACUAAGCUAGAGUACGGUAGGGGCAGAGGGAAUUUCCGGUGGAGCGAUGAAAUGCGUAGAGAUCGGAAGGAACACCAACGGCGAAAGCACUCUGCUGGGCCGACACUGACACUGAGAGACGAAAGCUAGGGGAGCGAAUGGG
rnacentral:rRNA from 1 species